UACGUAGGGGGCUAGCGUUGUCCGGAAUCAUUGGGCGUAAAGCGCGUGUAGGCGGUCCGGUAAGUCCGGUGUGAAAGUCGGGGGCUCAACCCUCGGAUGCCGGUGGAUACUGUCGGGCUUGAGUACGGAAGAGGCGAGUGGAAUUCCUGGUGUAGCGGUGAAAUGCGCAGAUAUCAGGAGGAACACCAAUUGCGAAGGCAGCUCGCUGGGACGUUACUGACGCUGAGACGCGAAAGCGUGGGGAGCAAACAGG
rnacentral:rRNA from 1 species